UGUUUUGUGGCUUAGUUGGUUAAAGCGCCGGUCUAGCGAAUACGGAGUCGGGGUUUCGAAUCCCACCAGAACGC
rnacentral:tRNA from 1 species